CUACCACUUUGUGAUUCAUGACUGGGGUGAAGUCGUAACAAGGUAACCGUAGGGGAACCUGCGGUUGGAUCACCUCCUUACCUUAAAGAA
rnacentral:rRNA from 1 species